rnacentral:lncRNA from 1 species
AUGGCGACGGUCGUUUCCUCGGUAACCCCAGUCACCGUUGCCAUAGCACCCUUGUUUCCACAGUAACCUCCCAGAUGGCUUGGAAGCUCCGUUGAAGAUUCUCGUGUAAAAAAGCUCUUCAGUCUUAAAUCAGGCUGUUUUUUUUUUUGUCAUUACGCGUUGGGUGCGUAAAGUAGAAGCCCAAACAUGCCCAGCGCCACUACCCCUCACCCAGUGACACUGACGGAACCAUUUGGAGUAAGGAGGUCUGUUUACAAAUUGCCACCGUGAACUGUCCCCUAAAAAUAAACCGUGCACAACUCAGAGGGAGAGGCAACGCGUGUGGAAUUAUGAAUGGACUGUGUCUGGCUCUCACUAGUGUGCUACUGCGGGCGCUCGACAGAGGCUGCUGUUCUCCCACCGAUAAAAUAGGUAAAAAAAAAAAAAGGUUCAAUUUCCUGCUCAGACCUCCUGGAAAACCCUGAUGACCCCAACAAAAGUGCCUUCUACUUAGGGGUGCAGUGACUCUGGUCUUCCUAUUGGGCCAGAUGGGCCAGAGUAAAGAAGUCGAAAUUCCCACUGGAUCAAUUUGAAUUUCCCAGCCUUCCUCCUCCUGAAUGGUGUCCAAUCCAGGACUUCAAAGCAAGCGGCUCCUAGCAGUUUUCCCCUCCUGUGGACGACCGAUCCAUCCAAACUGCAGCAAAAUGCAAAAAUGAGAUAUGAGAAGAAAAACACAUGUUCCACAUAAAGUUUUGUAGCUGCUCUUUUAUGGCUGCUUCUACUCUGGAUUGAACCCACUGUGAGCGGAACCAUCACAGGAUUAAAGGUGAUUCAGACGGUGACAGAAUUCAGUCGGAGCCGUGUUAUAGGCUGUGACAUUUCUCCAUACUGCUUUCUAUAAAAAAACACAAACAAAAACAAAUCAAAAGGACAGAUUCAGGAAAAAAAACACAGCCAGCAGUUUUGCAAAGCAUAUUCAAUUCCUGGCUUUUACAAGGAUUUCUACAUUCUGUAUUCAUAUUUUUCAGAACUGAUGUUCAUUACGGACAAUAACUGACAAACAGCUUUUGCUUCAAGUCAAGAGUGGCAAAAACCGACGCCAGCCAUUAUUUGCUGAUAUGAAACUGUGAUACAAUCAAAGACUGUUAGCCAUAUGCCUUCGUUAGCUCUGUGUGCUCUGUGUCGCUACUAUGUGAAACAAACAUGUACGUGUGCUGGUUUGCUGCUAUUCCCCUGACCCACACAUGAAGAACAGCCACACUACACCAACACGGAGACACAAGCAUUCACACACGUACACACACGCCUGAGGAUGGCACUCUUUGAUCCCACGGAGAACUGGCGUUUUUUUGGGGGGGGGAAUGGGCCAGAUUAUUGUCAGGGGAAGGCUGUGUUUACCAUUAUUUGUUCUGUGUUAUUCUGUGCUGUCUUAAACAUGACCCGUAU